UACGUAGGGGGCAAGCGUUGCUCGGAAUUACUGGGCGUAAAGCGCUCGUAGGCGGUUCACUAAGUCGGGUGUGAAACCUCCAGGCUCAACCUGGAGACGCCACCUGAUACUGGUGUGACUAGAGUCCGGUAGGGGAGUGUGGAACUCCUGGUGUAGCGGUGAAAUGCGCAGAUAUCAGGAAGAACACCAGCGGCGAAGGCGGCACUCUGGGCCGGUACUGACGCUGAGGAGCGAAAGCGUGGGUAGCAAACAGG
rnacentral:rRNA from 1 species